rfam:Gossypium hirsutum cultivar TM-1 chromosome 20, whole genome shotgun sequence
CACAUCAGUGCGCUAUGCUGACGUGGACACAAAUCGCGUUCUGAAGGUCGCGCUUUGUUGCCACAUAAGCAAAGCGCGCUGAUGUGG